rnacentral:rRNA from 1 species
AGGGUAGCGUAGGCGGCUGAUUAAGUCAGCGGUGAAAGGUAGCAGCUUAACUGUUUUACAUGCCGUUGAUACUGGUUAGCUUGAGUUGACAGAAGGCAGAUAGAAUUCCUGGUGUAGCGGUGAAAUGCUUAGAUACCAGGAGGAAUACCGAUUGCGAAGGCAGUCUGCUGCAGUCACACUGACGCUGAGGCUCGAAGGUGCGGGGAUCAAACAGGAUUAGAUACCCUAGU